GCAGAGGUAUCGAAGCCCGGCCAACCGAGAAGGACUCAAGAUCAUGGCAUGGGAAAUCCUUUCCCUCAGGGGUUCGGGGGUUCAAAUCCCUCCCUCUGCA
rfam:Thaumarchaeota archaeon 13_1_40CM_38_12 13_1_40cm_scaffold_62, whole genome shotgun sequence.